UACGUAGGCAGCGAGCGUUGUUCGGAAUUACUGGGCGUAAAGAGUGUGUAGGCGGUGCUCUAAGUUCGGUGUGAAAUCUCCUGGCUUAACUGGGAGGGUGCGCCGAAAACUGUAGUGCUCGAGCGUGGGAGAGGAAAGCGGAAUUCCUGGUGUAGCGGUGAAAUGCGUAGAUAUCAGGAGGAACACCUGCGGUGUAGACGGCUUUCUGGACCAUUGCUGACGCUGAGACACGAAAGCGUGGGUAGCAAACAGG
rnacentral:rRNA from 1 species